rnacentral:rRNA from 1 species
UACGGAGGGUGCAAGCGUUAUCCGGAUUUACUGGGUUUAAAGGGUGCGCAGGCGGAUAUGUAAGUCAGUGGUGAAAUCUCUAGGCUUAACCUGGAAAUUGCCAUUGAUACUAUAUGUCUUGAAUGCUGUGGAGGUAAGCGGAAUAUGUCAUGUAGCGGUGAAAUGCUUAGAUAUGACAUAGAACACCUAUUGCGAAGGCAGCUUACUACGCAGAUAUUGACGCUGAGGCACGAAAGCGUGGGGAUCAAACAGG